CCGGAGCUCCCAGGGGCACUCUGGGCGGCCAGUGUCCACCCGGAUGCCGGGGACAUUCGUCUUUUUGAAUUGAGAAUGCACCCCUGAACUUGAACAAGACCAGGACACCUGGCUCUGGGCCUGCCGUGUGAGGAGGACGAAGGGCAGGCUCCCCAGCUCGGGUGUCCUCUGCUGUCCACAGGGAAGCCCGUGAACUUGAGCUUAGUGGAGGCUGAACUUGAACCUGAGGAGGCUGCCACGUUUUGUGGGAAAACACCAGAUCGAAAAUAUACAAGCCCUCCAAGGGGUCAGCCACUGGACACCGAGGCCCGAACUGAGCUUUCGGUGUCCCGCCCACGGAACCCGGCCGGACGGGAGGCGCAGAGGCCCUUGCACCAGGAAAGGACAGGAAGGGGGGAGUGGCCACGCGCCCGGACCCGGCGACUUCACGGAGACCUGUGCUCUGGACAGAGCUCCGCCCACGGAGCUCCGCCCACAGGAGAGAAAUGGUCCUCAACCGCCGGCGCUCUGUGCACAAGGGAGUGAAGGCGAUGACCAGCCGCCGUGGAGGUCGGAGCCGCCAGACCGCCCUUGAGGCGGGGCGUGUCCCCCGGGGUGGGCCUGACCCCUCGUGUCUGCAGGUGACGUCCCUCCGAGGGGGACCGGUGUUCGGACCGCUGUCGGUUUUUAGAGCAGGAGGCGGGGGAGGGGAGGGAAACGCCCGUCAGCUGCCUCUCGAAAGCCUUCCCGGGACCGGCCUGCAGCCCAGGCAGGUGCCCUGACCGGGAGUCGAACCAGCGACUCCUGGGUUUGCAGCCCGUGCUCCAGGCACUGAGCCCCACCAGCCAGGGCUGUUUGUUUUAAGUCACUGCACUUUUCUUUCUACUGGAUGGGAAAUGAGCUUCCCAUUCCGGGGACCCCGGGUUCUUCACAGGCUCCUUCUACAGCACCGACGCCUCCUUCAGAAUCGAGUCUUCCAUUCUCAGGCGCUCCCUUUAAAGUGCCUGGCUGUGCCCGGCAGCCGCUGCUGCUCUCACCACUGACCGUCUUCCUUAGACGCCCAGACUAGCCAGUCUCCCCGGCCUCCCGCGGCGGUUUCAGCACCUGCCGACGACCGGCCCCAGGGCCACGGGGGCAAGUGCCGGCCGCUCCUCUGCCCCCACCUGGCACCCGCCCUGCUCACGUCACACCCCGACCCCCCGGGCACAGGGACCUCGCGCUCUGAUGGGAACACGGACGUGCACAGCAGCACCAACACGGGAGGAGACGGGCGAGCGACUGAAGCGGUGCUGCCGCCACGCGGUCACGCCCCAGAAGGAACAGUGAGCCGCGAGAACAAGAGGAGCUGAUGCGGUGGACACGGGCCACCGUCACACGUCCCCUUCUCCGGG